AUGAUGGAGAGGUGUCCUGUCCCAGGUGCAGCUACAGGAGUCAGGACCUGCCCUGGUGAAGCCUCACAGACCCUGUCCCUCACCUGUACAGUCUCUGGUUACUCCAUUACCAGUGGUAACUCCUGGAUCUGGAUCCACCAGCCUCCAGGGAAGAGCCUGGAGUGGAUGGGGUACAUAACUUAUAGUGGAGGCACUUACUACAGCCCAUCCCUCAAGAGCCGCAUCUCCAUCACCAGAGACACAUCUAAGAACCAGUUCUCCCUGCAGUUGAGCUCUGUGACAACAGAGAACACAGCUGUGUAUUACUGUGCAAGAGGCACAGCAAGAGGACUUCAGUGUGAGCCCUGA